AAGCUAAGGAAGAGGCGUUGCUUAAGGACACGCGUCACACAUUCAAGUCUCUCUCUCUCAUCUCAACCUCUCUCUCGCGGACGAAAUCACUCGGUUUCGAUUCCAAAACUUCGUGAUUUUUCUCUCGUCGACGGAUGAAUCUCUCUCUCGGUGGCUCUGGUCGGCCUGUUCUUCCUGUUUCGGAUCCUCCUCUCUCCGGAGAGAAUGAUACCUCCGACGGUAAAGGAGUCUACGAUCUGUCUUUUCAAAGGAUCUGCCAUGACCAAACACGGCGCCUACGCUGCUCUCUCUUAUAUGGCUGCGCUGGUAAUCAAUCUCAUCCAAUUUCUAGUGUUUCAUCGAAAUCUAAUGUGUUUGCUCCUGACAUUGAGAUUCGGUUUAGCAUGCUUUAAAGUCAGUGUCUUUGUGUAUGUUGUUUUGUCUUUCAAUUGAAAGCUGGUCGCUUUUCACAUCAAUGAUCAGAGACCAAGAUUGCGAGUAUGAAGUGGUUGACGAUGAUGAUGAGUAUGAUGACAACACACCUGUAGAGAAGAGCUAUUGAUUACAAUAGCACCGUUGUGAGAUAUAUUCAGGCUCGAACAUGGCAGCGAGAUUCAAGGGAUAUGACCUCUUUGCAAGCAACUCCAGCUGCUGCAGUUGAUGUUAGAUACCAUUUGAUAUGCUUCCCCCAGUUGCCUAUUCAGAUAACCCUUCCACAAGCUUUGCUGCCAAGUUUGUUCACUCGUCUCUAAACAAGAACCGUUGUUCAAUCAACUGUAUAGUGAGACCAAUAUUGCAAGUAUGAAGUGGUUGACGAUGAUGAUGAGUAUGAUGACAACACACCUGAGUAACUCCCACUCUCGUCCAAACCGUUCUCAUAUCAUUUAAUUUUUUUCGAUACCAAUAGGAUUUGUAUUUUAUUUCUCAUAACUUUGGAAGUUCUAGGCAUGACUGAUUAGUAUCAUUGUGUCUCAUUCCAAACAUUACUCUUGUGCUAAAGCUGAUUAUGAAGAAAAAAAAGACUAAACCAAAAAUUUAUUUUAGUAAUAUUUGUUUUAAUGUUUUAAUGUUUUUAUACUAAAAUCUAGUUUGAUUUUGUUUUAUUUAAUAAAUAAAUUUAAUCUUUGUUUAAAAUUUUAUGUUUUAAAAAAGUUUAAUCUUUUUUUUAUUGUUAAGAACUUUAAUUAAGAAACCACCAAUAAAUCACUAUAAUUAAGUGUCUCUUAACAAAGUUCCUUAUCUUAAUUUUAAUAGUUAAAAAAUCAUUAAGAGACACUUACGGGUUUUACCAAUGAACAUGCUCUAAGAAGCAAGACUCAUUUUUUUGUCAGAAACUUGGCAUGUCUUCAAAGACAAUGUUUGGAUAAUUUUCGAGCAAUUUAUAUCCAUAAAAGUAUGUAUAUUGAUAGAAUGAGGUCAGAUUUAGAACCGUUGUCGUCAGUAGACUUUGAAGGUGUUUGACCGUCGGCGUCACUUAUGUAGAACCUAUGAUGUAAGAAGGUUUACAAAACAUGAGCUAGAGUUAUUGGUCGUCGCCUUUUAGAAACGGCAAGAGUAUCGGUAUUUGGGUUUCUUAGUUGAUUGCUCAUGUGUUGUCUCUCUACCAUGUCCUCAUGUUUUAAUCAAAAUCUAUAUAUUUUUUACGAAACAUACUUCUAUAUCAUCCAAUUUCUGGUAUAUAAUGAAAGAUUUAGUAGAAUUGGUUUAGCUAUCUAUAUUAUUAAAAUGUGUUUAUUUUUUCAGACACGCAUAUAAAGAAAAUUUCAUAGUUAAUCGUGUUUGAGUUAUAGUAGUUAAAGGACGGAUAACUUAUCGAAAAGUGAUUUGCAAAAUCUCGUAAGUGAUGUCAAAACAUGUGGAAAGGUCAUGUGUAAUUGCACGACGACUAAUUAAGUAUUUUGAGUUUCCAAAACAUUAAUGCACUGCUCAUCGCACGGAAUGGACCCAUCGACCGAGUGAGCGGGUGUGGGAGCACAUUAGUCAUUGGUGGUGGGAACAUUACAAAUGGUAUCAGAGUUGGUUAGCUACCUCGGGAAGUGUCUUCAGACCUGUUGGUGGUGCACAACGAGGAUGUUGCGCUAUGCGAAUGGGUGAACAGUAAAAUCUCGAUUUCUCGUAUACGAUGAAAGGCUUAUAAAAUUGAUUUACCUAUCUAAGUCCCCAAAGUGCGCUUAUCUUUUUAGGCACACAUUCAGAUAAAACUUCAGAGCUAAGUGUACUUGAGUUAGAGUAAUCAAAUGAUCGACAACUUAUCGGAAAGUGAUUUACGAUAUCGUGUGAGCAAGACCAAAGUACGUGAAAAUGUCAUGUGGUGAAUGCAAGGUCAGUAAACAAAUACUUCAAGCUUCCAAAAAAUUAACACACUGUCCAUCGCACAAAAUUGACCCACCGACCAAGUGAACGACUGUAGGAAGUCCCUUAACUGUGUAUGGUCGGAGCAUUAAAACUUCCCUUGAGAUUCAUAAUUUUGAAUAACACCUUAUCAGCUUAUCUCAUAUGGGCAAUGAAAUACUUCUCUUUACGAAAAUGUUAAUAUCAUAUCGAAUAAUUUUAAUAUUUCGUCAAUGCUAAUUAGUUAUAUUAAGAUGUAAAAAGGCGUGUUGCCAGCACUACGAGCAGUAACAAGAUUCCAUAAGCACUACAUAAUAUUCUCACAGGACCAAAAUUUCAUUGCUGAACUUUUGUUAGUUAGUUAAAGAAUCCUUGAAUAUCCAACUGUUUGGAGUAUAUCUCGAUGUUUUAUGACACUGAUUAAGAUUUUCAGUUGUCGAGAUUUCAUAGUGGAUUUUGAUUACUAUGCCAUAAACUUUCUAGAACAU